rnacentral:lncRNA from 1 species
UUAAGGAUUUUAUAGGUUGGCGGAUUUCGUAAAGUUGAAUAGAGUCUUGAAGAGUUGAUUGCAGAAGUUUGAAGAAAAGAUCCAAAUUGAAGAACAAAGACUCAUUCGGAAAGCUCGGCAUCUCAGGUAUGAAGAAUAGAUGAUUUAUGGUGAAGAUGUUUAAUUGUAAUAAGUUCAGAAGGCUUAGAUUGCUUUAAAAUUCUUUUACUGAACUUUUAUGUGUUCUGGGACUAGUCCCUGAGUUGAAGAGACCGG